AUGUAAAGCCUAGAAACAUGCAUGAUGACAAACCCCAUAGACCAAGACUUGGCCAUGCAAUCACCAAACUCCACCUCACCUCUUCUUUGACUUUCUCAAACAAAUAGAACAUCCAAGAAGCUCCUUACUUCUCCAUUUCCUACGGGUAAACACCCAAGUCUGAAAUUUCAGCUUACUUUACUCUCUUUUUCUCUUAAGAAAAGUGCUAGGAAGCUCCCUUGAGUCUUCCUCUCAAGUCCACCGGUUCACACACCAAAAGAAAGACAAAACCCCACCCAAAAGUCUUCCUCUUAUCCUAUUUUUGCUGGCUGCCUCAGACAGAAAGUCCAGCAACAAGAAGGAAGUUUCUUCAACUCUCUUAAGCUCUCUACCUCUCAUACUUUCUGGUCCAGCCACAAGGAAAGGAAAAUCCUUUCAUGUGUUACCAGUAGCCAAGUCUAAUCUCCUUCGACUUUAGGCUCUCGGUUCCUCUGCUUUCAGGUAAGGGAUAAGUUAUAUGAGCAUUUGUUAGCAGGUUUUAUUUUGGAGCAGAGGGAGCCUUAGUCGAG